rnacentral:tRNA from 1 species
GCGCCUAUAGCUCAAUGGGUGGAACGUCUGUUUCCCAAACCGAGAUUCGUAGAUACGACCUCUACCUGGCGCG